AUAUGAAGAGACAUCAGCUGGCACCAGUCUGAGAUAGGUGGUUUAAACCAUCUUAUUUGCGGACAACGCUUUUUCGUCCGGGAACAUACGCCCCGGUCCUGAC
rfam:Penicillium arizonense strain CBS 141311 PENARI_contig031, whole genome shotgun sequence.